UUUUUUGUCACAUAAAGUUUGAAAUUUUCAAAUGUUGGAUGUUGUUUUCCAGAAUGACAUGAACCAAUUUGAAAGGUUUCUUGGCAGAAAAUCUUGAAGAAAGAGAUAAAAAUUAAACAUCUCCAUGACAUGGUGCCAGUGGCAACAGCGAGAAUAAAAGGUUUCAGCAUCCAGCCAAAUUUUCCAUCAGUUUACAUAUGCAUAUUGUUGUGUAAACAGAAGUAAGCAGUCCAGAGCACUCGUCCUAGAGAAGGAGUUACAUAGAGACUAUGAUGAAAACAGAACCUAUAGUUAAUUUUGAACUCACAAAGGGCCCCAUGGGGAACAGCGUAAAUGCUACUAGCCUUUUCUCUUAGUUUUCUCAUGUAGUUGUCUCUGUUAUAGAUUGUUUGCCAUUUUGAAAAAUGUGCAACCGUGUCUUUUGCCAUUUUUUACAUCUUUGCAUAAGGUACCACCAAUGCUAUAUAUACUCAGUUGGAUAUGCUUAUACUCACUACAUGAAACUUUUGCUUUUAUAAACAUUUUUAGACAUGUAUGUAGGCAGUUUGUUUGUGUCAUAUUCAUGCCUGUCAGCUUUAGUUGUGUGUGAUUAACCUUUGUUGAUCAUUACUGCUUGAUGCACACAAGUAAGAUAAUGCUACUACUUCACAAAUUUACUUGUAAAAAAAAAAAAAGCAGUCACAUUGUUAAUGAUUAAUUGUAUGGCAGGUGAAGUAGUACUGUAUCACUGAUGAAGACAGCUAGAGAUGCUAUUUGGUGCAGUUUACUUUCUUUAUUUUUCUCUAUGCUGAAAUAUUUUCUUUUCAUCUUUCUACAUUUCCCUAGAAAGCGAAAAGGUGUUGACAUGCUAUUCCGAAAUGUUACAAAUGUAAAAUGAUACAUUAGGCAACAUAUGGGGAUCAGUGUUUUUGAACAAAUUGAUUUAUUGAAUGAUUUAGUGGCUCACUCAAAAAGACAGUCGCUUGUUUAAUUUUGUUGCUUAAUGAAUCCAUGUUUUGAACAAUUUAUUUGAGUGUAUAAAGCAAUGACUCAUUCUUAAAGACAGCAACUUCUUUUGUCAAUGAAUAAAAUAUUUUUUUAACAAAUCAGUUGAGUGAAUGAUGCAAAUGAUUCAUAAAGACGGUCUCUCGUAUCAGUAAUGU